GCUCACACUCUCGGCGCCGCCGCUGCCGCCGCCAUCUCCCAGCUCGGCUCGCGCCGCCGCCUGCCGCUGCGCAUGCGCGUCUCGCGCCCCCUUCCCUGCACACGCCCCCCUUCCCCUGUGCGCGCUCCCGCCAGCCUCGGGGUCGCUGGGAAACAGCCGCCGGCGCCCGCGCAUGCGCUGUCCAGGGCCGACGCGGUUGUAUCAUGCUGAGAAGGAGCCGGGCGGGGGCCGGCGGGGCUGCGAGGGCCCUGUGAGGAGGGGCACCUGCCACUAGAAGCGGCCUCUGGGACGUCGCGCUGAGCCCUGCUUUGGAGUCAGAGGGGCUUUCCGCCUCGGUGAACUCGAGAGUAGCAACUCUCCUCCGGGUAACCGGAGUGCCACAGCGGGCAGGCGUCAUAAGGACAGGCCUCGGAGAGGAGAGGGGCUACCCGAGAAUGGCCUCAAAAGUAUGCAUAGGAGUUGGGAAGGCAGAGGAACAAGUGUAUUCAGAGACGCAAGGAUUGUCUGCCGUGGUGGCUUCUCACACAAGCCUGUACUUUCCUGUGGGAGAAUAUUUCCUAGGAGCCUAUAUUCCAGUUCAUCUCUGACGUCAUAAAUCAUGACUGUGUAGAAAGGCCAUAACAUGUGACACAUGGCAGCCAUUUUGGAGAUGGCCAGAUGAGAGGACAAUCAAUCCACAUGCCUAAAUGGAACCAACAGACAUGUGCCAGCUUGCUUCUCCAGCCUAUGUUCUCAGACACUUGUAGAAGACCAGAGGGAAAAUG
rnacentral:lncRNA from 1 species